UACGAAGGGAGCGAGCGUUGUUCGGAAUCACUGGGCUUAAAGCGUGCGUAGGCGGAUUGGUAAGUAAGGAGUGAAAUCCCAGGGCUUAACCCUGGAACUGCUCUUUAGACUGCCUGUCUGGAAUUCGGAAGAGGUUGGUGGAACUCCCAGUGUAGAGGUGAAAUUCGCAGAUAUUGGGAAGAACACCGGUGGCGAAGGCGACCAACUGGUCCGACAUUGACACUGAGGCACGAAAGCGUGGGUAGCAAACAGG
rnacentral:rRNA from 1 species